rnacentral:rRNA from 1 species
GAACCGUACGAACGUUAUUCGGAAUCACUGGGCUUAAAGGGUGCGUAGGCGGCUUAUCAAGUUGGGUGUGAAAUCCCCUGGCUCAACCAGGGAACUGCGCUCAAAACUGAUAGGCUUGAGGGAGAUAGAGGUGAGCGGAACUGAUGGUGGAGCGGUGGAAUGCGUUGAUAUUAUCAGGAACACCAGUUGCGAAAGCGGCUCACUGGGUCUCUUCUGACGCUGAGGCACGAAAGCUAGGGGGGAGCGAACGGGAUUAGAUACCCCGGUAGUCCUAGCUGUAAACGAUGAGCACUUGGUUGAGGGUCCUCCCAUAGACCCUCGGCCGUAGCGAAAGUGUUAAGUGCUCCGCCUGGGAGUAUGGUCGCAAGGCUG